ensembl:lncRNA
AGGAAACUCAAAAAUCAAGUAGGCCUAAAGAUGCCAUAGGGCAGGUUGAGGGAGAAUCAGCUGGACCUUCAGGGCUUCAGGAGACAGUCAGUGUGAGUGAGGAUGAUCCUGAAGCAAGUCAGUGUAGCAGUGUCAUGGACAUGGGGAGUAAGCCAUUCCAGCCUGAUCCAAAAUUCAUCGAAGUACAGCAACUUCCAGACAAGAUUUUGCGGUUUCAGAUCUGGGCUUACAGACAAAUCUGCACCUGCAGGCAUGAUUGUAGACAUGGGCCCAACUGAUCCCCAUGUUGAGACUGCUGAGGAUGCACCCACUUCAAAGAAAAAGACCACCUUGGGGAGCUUCAAGACCACUGAGGGAACCACACUAAGACCCCCACCACAAAAAAAGCUAUAUCCUGAGUUACAGUCUUAUCUACAAUUGGACAACAUUGACAGUGAAGAGGACCCGCUGGACUGGUGGAGGGAACACCAGAGACUCUAUCCACGACUCUCAAAACUAGCAAAAAAGUACUUGUGCAUUCCAGCCACAAGCACUGGGGGAAAUGUAGUGACCUACCCUUGCUCGUCUCUCAAGCCAGAAAAUGUGGACAGGCUCCAUUCUUGCCAAAAACCUGUAAACACCACGUUAUGGGGCAGUGGUGGCUCGAUGGUUAAGGCUCUGGGUUACUGAACAGAAGGUCAGGGGUCCAAGCCCCAGCACUGCCAAGCUGCCACUGUUGGGGGCCCUUGAGCAAGGCCCUUAACCCUCUCUGCUCCAGGGGUGCAGUAUCAUGGCUGACACUGCACUCUGACCCUAACAUUGUUUGAAUUUCACUGUGCUGUAAUUUAUGUGACUAAUAAAGACUAAAGAUAUUUCUUUCUGCAUACACCUGAAUUUUCAUUUGGUUGCAUAUUGUUAUAAUUGAUGCAUAUUUUUC